CUUCGUGUUCUUUAGGGCAGUUAUUUUGCACCAGUGACAGAAACAGUGACCAAAUAAUUCAUUACCUUAUCUACAUGUGAAGGAAGAUUUUUGGCCUGCACUUUCACAGCUGAUAUUAUAAAAAUCAGCUUAUGACAUUAACAUGUUUCAAGCGUUUUAAUUUACUUUUAUUUGUGAAGUUUAUCUAUCACAUGUGGAGACAUACGCACAUACGAAACGGCAAAAAGACGCUAAAAUCUGGGUUAAGAGCAAAAAACUACCUGCGCCAAUCAGUUUUUGCCAUUUAUGGGCUUUACCCUAUAAAAGAAAACCGUUUUAUGCAUUUAAAUGACCUUACACGUUAUCAGUUUAUUAAGCGUUUAGACUAUGUAGACACAAUGUGCACUAAGAUAAAAAAAUUGGUUAACACGACCACUCGUGGUGGCUUUACUCAGAGGUUGGAGAAGACAACCGGUGGACUAAACAUCAAGCCUCUGCACGAUUCAGGUAAGUGGAAUAAAAUACAUUGUAAAUAAACAUUAUUAAAACAGAUUGUAAAGUCAUUCAUUCAAAACUUGCUAUGACCUAAGCCUAAAUGACUUAAUUUCUUUUUAGAAUUAAGACAACCUUAGCAGGAGAGCCCCAGCAGUAACUUUCUCUCAAGCAGAUGAACAAUAAGUUGCUUUGUAUGAACACCACCCUAACAAUCAAGUUUUCUACAGUAGUCUGUUAACAGUAGACCAAAGGUAUGAUGAUCAAUUUUAAAUGCAAUAUGGUUGAAAGGUCAGUAAACAAACAACAAAAAGCUUGACAAAAAUGUAGCUUGAAGGAGAAGGGACAGCUGAGAAACAAAGUCCUGGUACGCAGACGACAAUACUAUAACACUGACAAGAGUAUAAUGAUGAUGGAGACGGAGACACAAGCCAGAGAAAGGGUGGACCAAACACCAGGCCAGAAUUCUGCAUGAGUCAGAUCCAGUGGGUGCAGAUCAUCAUACAGAUGGUUCAAGUGUGGAUCCACCUAAUAUUCAAGGUUUUCUGUCCUGGGACACUCGGCUAACCAUCAAGAAAGAACACACUCCAGUGGGCAUCCUUUAUCCAUCCAGACCCUCAUACAGAUGGUUGGAGUUUUGAUUCUCCUAAAGUACCAUGCAAGAGCACUCAUUUUCCCUCUUGAGACCAUGGUGUGACCUGCAAGGUCGAAUGGAGACUGUAAACGAGACAAUCUUGGAGUCACCUGCAUUCACUGGUCCAGUUAGUCCAAUUACAGAUGGAGAUUAUAGAAGAGGAUGAUGUCUUUUCUCCAACAUCUUUCUAGACUGAUAAAAGAUCUAGACAGGCUUGAACAAAAGUUAACAGAGGGGCUUAUAUAGAGAAUGGUGAGCAGCUACACAUAAAAGAAGAACAUGGAGAAUCUGCCCAGAGGUGUUAACCAGCAAUGCAGCUAUACAACUAAAUUGAUGCAGGCGGAAACAAUGUGUAAUGCAGCUGCUGCAGAAGAAGAAUCCGUCCGUCUACCACUGAAGGAGACGCGGAAAUUCCUUCCAAGAUGUUCUUUGCCCGAGGAAGCAUUUGAUUAAUUUAAAGAUAUUGUGUUUCUUUGUAUGUUAUAGAAAAACGUUGCUUUUUUGCAUACACUCGUGUAAAUAUGCAUGUUAUGAAUGUUUUUCUUUUGUCUAAUUUAAAUAAAUUUUACGCAAUCAACUGCCUGUUUUAUUGAAAA